rnacentral:rRNA from 1 species
UGCAAGUCGAACGGAAAGGCCCUUCGGGGUACUCGAGUGGCGAACGGGUGAGUAACACGUGGGUGAUCUGCCCUGCACUCUGGGAUAAGCCUGGGAAACUGGGUCUAAUACCGGAUAGGACCACACACUUCAUGGUGAGUGGUGCAAAGCUUUUGCGGUGUGGGAUGAGCCCGCGGCCUAUCAGCUUGUUGGUGGGGUAAUGGCCCACCAAGGCGACGACGGGUAGCCGGCCUGAGAGGGUGACCGGCCACACUGGGACUGAGAUACGGCCCAGACUCCUACGGGAGGCAGCAGUGGGGAAUAUUGCACAAUGGGCGCAAGCCUGAUGCAGCGACGCCGCGUGAGGGAUGACGGCCUUCGGGUUGUAAACCUCUUUCAGUAGGGACGAAGCGAAAGUGACGGUACCUACAGAAGAAGGACCGGCCAACUACGUGCCAGCAGCCGCGGUAAUACGUAGGGUCCGAGCGUUGUCCGGAAUUACUGGGCGUAAAGAGCUCGUAGGUGGUUUGUCGCGUUGUUCGUGAAAACUCACAGCUUAACUGUGGGCGUGCGGGCGAUACGGGCAGACUAGAGUACUGCAGGGGAGACUGGAAUUCCUGGUGUAGCGGUGGAAUGCGCAGAUAUCAGGAGGAACACCGGUGGCGAAGGCGGGUCUCUGGGCAGUAACUGACGCUGAGGAGCGAAAGCGUGGGUAGCGAACAGGAUUAGAUACCCUGGUAGUCCACGCCGUAAACGGUGGGUACUAGGUGUGGGUUUCCUUCCUUGGGAUCCGUGCCGUAGCUAACGCAUUAAGUACCCCGCCUGGGGAGUACGGUCGCAAGACUAAAACUCAAAGGAAUUGACGGGGGCCCGCACAAGCGGCGGAGCAUGUGGAUUAAUUCGAUGCAACGCGAAGAACCUUACCUGGGUUUGACAUGCACAGGACGUACCUAGAGAUAGGUAUUCCCUUGUGGCCUGUGUGCAGGUGGUGCAUGGCUGUCGUCAGCUCGUGUCGUGAGAUGUUGGGUUAAGUCCCGCAACGAGCGCAACCCUUGUCCUAUGUUGCCAGCGGGUAAUGCCGGGGACUCGUAGGAGACUGCCGGGGUCAACUCGGAGGAAGGUGGGGAUGACGUCAAGUCAUCAUGCCCCUUAUGUCCAGGGCUUCACACAUGCUACAAUGGCCAGUACAGAGGGCUGCGAAGCCGUAAGGUGGAGCGAAUCCCUUAAAGCUGGUCUCAGUUCGGAUUGGGGUCUGCAACUCGACCCCAUGAAGUCGGAGUCGCUAGUAAUCGCAGAUCAGCAACGCUGCGGUGAAUACGUUCCCGGGCCUUGUACACACCGCCCGUCACGUCAUGAAAGUCGGUA